GACGAACGCUGGCGGCGUGCUUAACACAUGCAAGUCGAACGGAAAGGCUCUGCUUUUGUGGGGUGCUCGAGUGGCGAACGGGUGAGUAACACGUGAGUAACCUGCCCUUGACUUUGGGAUAACUUCAGGGAACUGGGGCUAAUACCGGAUAGGAGCUCCUGCUGCAUGGUGGGGGUUGGAACGUUUCGGCGGUUGGGGAUGGACUCUCGGCUUAUCAGCUUGUUGGUGGGGUAGUGGCUUACCAAGGCUUUGACGGGUAGCCGGCCUGAGAGGGUGACCGGCCACAUUGGGACUGAGAGACGGCGCAGACUCCUACGGGAGGCAGCAGUGGGAAAUAUUGCACAAUGGGCGGAAGCCUGAUGCAGCAGCGCCGCGUGCGGGAUGACGUCCUGCGGGUUGUAAACCGCUGUCGCCGGUGACGAUGCGUGAGUGACGGUAAUUGGUAAAGAAGCACCGGCUAACUACGUG
rnacentral:rRNA from 1 species